AGAGAGAGAGAGAGAGAGAUGUAUAAUUAUGGAAGCUAUUCCUGAAACAGAUAACAAGAUGCAUGAAUAUCUAAAUCAUUACACAAGAUAGUAAACUGCACGAGAAGAUCUUCAUAUUUUUGAAAGCUCUCAAACAAUGAAGUGAAAACAAGCUCGAAUCACCUCCCAUUUUAAGAACAAUAACAUGAAAGAGAAAAUGGUAACCAAGAAA
rnacentral:misc_RNA from 1 species